UUGAGAUAUGCGAUUUUACUUUCUUGCCCUUCGUCAUCUACACUCAUGUUUUACAUUCAAUCUUUACUUCUUAUUCCCUGCCAGUGUUGUUUAAACCAAACAAAAACCCCAUCAUAUCUACACAUGCUCUACGCAACCACCUCCAUCUCCCUCUUCGCCACCAUUUGUGCUGCCGCCGCCGCCAUCACCACCCAUAUUCUCCGUCUAUUUCCGAUUCAAUUGCAUCUAUUUCUUUUUCAUAUAACCAACUAAUUUGUGACAAAGUAACCAACUAAUGAUCUCUAUGCGAAAGCGACAUACUGUUGCAUUUAGCUAAUUAGCUGUAGUGAUAAAGGGCUUGUUGGUGUGAUGUGUUCGACUGUUUGUUUCUGUACAGGUAUAUUCACCAUCAAUUAGGUUUGGGCAUAUAUAGUGAACGUUUGAGGAUAUAAAUAGAUUGUAUCGAUGUUGUGCCAUAACUUUUUAAACCUCUGGUGUAUUUAAUACAAAUUUAUAAUCAUAAAAUUUGAAAGUGAUCUUUCAGGUAGUAACUUCUUUUUCCUAGCAUGAUGAUAUUAUCUGUAAUUUCCAGUUUUUUCUUCCUUUUGAAUUUGACUUUUCAUGACACUGCACCUUGUAGAACAAUGUAAAUUCUCAGAACUGUAAAUCUGUAUAUGAUAAAUUGUUGCAUAUUCAUCCACUCGCAUCAUUGUGUGCAUAUUAUUGAAGGAAUUUGUGACUACGAUUACUUGAUGUUUGUUGCUCUGAAAGUUGGUUUUUCAUAAUCAUUUUUAUGGUUGUAAACCUUAAUUGCAACAAUAUGGAGGGUGUCUUGGAUGUUGUACUAAGACCGCAUUUGUGACAACUGACAAUAAGCCAACUGGAGGCCUCUAAUAGCAUAUUAGAGGAUUUUUGGAGUAGCAGCACAUAUAUAUGGAUGUUAGUAUCCCUCAGUCACAAAUGAGUGCCUCAUCAGUUAGCAACACAGCAGUGGAUGCCCAAAGUAGUUCUGGAACCACCCUUCUGAAUUUGUAAUCGUGGCCUUUUUAUUUGGAACCAAACAAGGCUAUGAUGGAUUGGAGAUAAGGCACCUGACAACUAUAAAAAGCUCGACGUCAACGUGUUAUAAGGUGGGUAAUUUAAUCAUUUGUGUUGUUCCAUCUGUAUUCCAUCUAAUUUUAGACGUUAAAGAUUGAAAUGGAAUGGUAUUUAAGCAAGGUACUCAGUUUUUUUCCUAUAAAGAUUGAAACUUUUUUGGUUAGUAAA